UACGUAGGGUGCAAGCGUUGUCCGGAAUUAUUGGGCGUAAAGAGCUCGUAGGCGGUUUGUCGCGUCGAAUGUGAAAACCCGGGGCUCAACCCCGGGCCUGCAUUCGAUACGGGCAGACUAGAGUUCGGUAGGGGAGUCUGGAAUUCCUGGUGUAGCGGUGAAAUGCGCAGAUAUCAGGAGGAAUACCGAUGGCGAAGGCAGGUCUCUGGGCUGACACUGACGCUCAUGCACGAAAGCGUGGGGAGCAAACAGG
rnacentral:rRNA from 1 species